rnacentral:rRNA from 1 species
CAGUAACACGUAGUCAAUCUAGCCUAUGGACGAGGAUAACCUCGGGAAACUGAGAAUAAUACUCGAUAGAUCAUUAUGCCUGGAACGGUUUAUGGUUCAAAUGAAUUUCGCCAUAGGAUGGGACUGCGGUCUAUCAGCUUGUUGGUGAGGUAAUGGCCCACCAAGGCUAUAACAGAUACGGGCUCUGAGAGGAGAAGCCCGGAGAUGGGUACUGAGACACGGACCCAGGCCCUAUGGGGCGCAGCAGGCGAGAAAACUUUGCAAUGUGCGAAAGCACGACAAGGUUAAUCCGAGUGGUUCCUGCUAAAGGAAUCUUUUGUUAGUCAUAACACCACUGAUGAAUAAGGGGUGGGCAAGUUCUGGUGUCAGCCGCCGCGGUAAAACCAGCACCUCAAGUGGUCAGGAGGAUUAUUGGGCCUAAAGCAUCCGUAGCCGGCUUUGUAAGUUUUCGGUUAAAUCUAUAUGCUCAACAUAUAGGCUGCCGGGAAAACUGCAAAGCUAGGGAGUGGGAGAAGUAGACGGUACUCCGUAGGAAGGGGUAAAAUCCUUUGAUCUAUGGAUGACCACCUGUGGCGAAGGCGGUCUACCAAAACACGUCCGACGGUGAGGGAUGAAAGCUGGGGGAGCAAACCGGAUUAAAUACCCGGGUAGUCCCAGCUGUAAACUAUGCAAACUCAGUGAUGCAUUGGCUUGUGGCCAGUGCAGUGCCGCAGGGAAGCCGUUAAGUUUGCCGCCUGGGAAGUACGUACGCAAGUAUGAAACUUAAAGGAAUUGGCGGGGGAGCACCACAAGGGGUGAAGCCUGCGGUUC